GACGAACGCUGGCGGCGUGCUUAACACAUGCAAGUCGAACGCUGAAGGCUCAGCUUGCUGGGCUGGAUGAGUGGCGAACGGGUGAGUAACACGUGAGUAACCUGCCCUCUUCUUUGGGAUAACGGUCGGAAACGGCUGCUAAUACCGGGUAUUCACUGUCCUUCGCAUGGGGGGUGGUGGAAAGGUUUUUUCUGGUGGGGGAUGGGCUCGCGGCCUAUCAGCUUGUUGGUGGGGUGAUGGCUUACCAAGGCUUUGACGGGUAACCGGCCUGAGAGGGUGACCGGUCACAUUGGGACUGAGAUACGGCCCAGACUCCUACGGGAGGCAGCAGUGGGGAAUAUUGCACAAUGGGCGAAAGCCUGAUGCAGCGACGCCGCGUGAGGGAUGAAGGCCUUCGGGUUGUAAACCUCUUUCGCUCAUGGUCAAGCCGCAACUUUGGGUUGUGGUGAGGGUAGUGGGUAAAGAAGCACCGGCUAACUACGUGCCAGCAGCCGCGGUAAUACGUAGGGUGCGAGCGUUGUCCGGAAUUAUUGGGCGUAAAGGGCUUGUAGGCGGUUUGUCGCGUCUGCCGUGAAAUCCUCUGGCUUAACUGGGGGCGUGCGGUGGGUACGGGCAGACUUGAGUGCGGUAGGGGAGACUGGAACUCCUGGUGUAGCGGUGGAAUGCGCAGAUAUCAGGAAGAACACCGGUGGCGAAGGCGGGUCUCUGGGCCGUUACUGACGCUGAGGAGCGAAAGCGUGGGGAGCGAACAGG
rnacentral:rRNA from 1 species